AGAUUUAAAAAAUUUCUUACUGCACAUGGUGCAGGAAAACACCUAGUAGUACUUUAAUAAAAUAGAUACCAACACACUGGCAGUAACUUUUAAUUUUACAGCAGUUACAUUUUUAAACAGUCCAGUUAAAAAUCUUUAUCUACAUUUAGUCAAUUACAAUUGUAACCUUAGUGUUUUUUCUUCGUAAGGCCCUAGAAGCUCGUUUCGUCUCUCCUUCGCUUUACGAUGAGCACCUCCUCACAGUUUCCUCCUCCAUCUCCGGCGAGUUUAUUGGCAUCAUCGUCGAUGAGGCUAUGGAGACCAGCAGCUCAGCGUAAUCUUAGGAACCAGUGGUCAAAGCUCUCAACUUUUCGGCAACAGGUGAAAGUUCUGAAGUUUAACUCUUUUGUCUUUCUAUUCUCUGUGUGUUUUACUUCACAUAUUGAGUCUUUGUAUGGGAACAAAUGAUAUUAUGGACCACUUGGGUUCCAAAAAAUCUGAAUUAGACCCAUCUUUUUUUUUAUUUAAAUUUAAAUAGAAAUCUAACUAAAAUAACUAAAAAAACCUAAGGACUUAAACAUAUUUACUAACCUAUGUCAUUACUAUCAUACCCAGAAUUCGACCCGGUUUCAGACCCGAAAUUCAACCCAACUUUAACCUAAAGUUUCUUCUUCUUCCCCUUUUCUUUUCCAUUAUUAAUUCUUUCACCAUAAAACAAAAUCAAAAUUUUCUUCAACCAUCCACUAAUUUUCACUUUCUUAUCUCAAAUCGAUCAAUCCAUAGAAAGAUUUAGUCAAUUAUAUAUUAUCCAAAAUCAAAUUUCAUCUUUUACAUACGAGAUUCAAGAUAAAGAAGAACGCAGAGUAUUACUAAUACAACUAGUACAACUCCAACUAGUACAACUCCAACUAGUACAACUAGUACAACUAAAAUGAGUAUAACUAGUAUAAAUAUAUUAAGUAUAACCUAGACGUUAUUUGAGAAGUGAUUUUCUUAUGCGUCAUCGCCAUGUUCAUUAUCACCAAGAAAAAAGAUGACACGGUUUUGAGAAAUUAUGAAAUGACAUUAUAAUUUCUUUUAUUUAUUGUUUUCAGCAUAUGAAAAUGCUAUAAAAGAAGAUGAUGUAGAACCAAUAAGACAUAUUGUCAAAUAUAUGAAUAGUAUAUGAAUAGUAUAUUUUUAAUAAUAUUUGAUUUGGAUAUUGAUAUGUUUACAAGUUAUACUAGUUGUACUAUUUUUCGGGAAAAUCAUCUUCAUCUUUUUCUCUCGAGACCACAAAACUAGAUGCGGAACCAGAAAAUUCUUCAACUAUGGCUCUAUAAUGCAAUUCACCGAAAAGAAGAAGGUGAGAGCGCUGACUACGAAUAAGAACGACUCACCGGCGACAAACAAAAGAAGAAGAAGAAGGGUGUGUCCUUGUCAAAUCCAACCAAGCGAGCUUGGAAUUGCGAAAGAGAAAUAGCGACUCAACCGGACCCUCAAGGUGGUCUUUUCCCGAAACCGUCAACGGAUGCACCAUCUCAGCGCGGUAGUGAGCCCUAUAAAUCACCAAAUUGACCCGAAGAUCCUCUUUUUUAUGAAUUUUUUUAGUUAAAAUUUACAGGUAUUUUAGUCAAUACUCAACACUAGUGUAAAACAACAAUGCUUAAAACAUGAUACACAUUUAAAACGUGAUGCACAUUUAAAACAAUACUAAAUAAAAUACAAUACUAAAUAAAAUACCAAGUAGUUGUACCAGUUUGUUAGUUAUACCGGCUAUAACAUAGUUGUACUAGUUUUUGAGUUGUACCCGUUUGUGCAUAGUUGUACAUUAGCUGUGAAAUUGAAAAAUAUUAGUUGUACCACAUAAUAAAUAAAGGUACUUCAGUUGUACCACUUAUUUAUGUUUACAUGUCUGUGCCCGGUUACAAUGAAAUAAACAAUUUUGUAAAAAUAUAUUUCAUGUAUGUUUUCCAAAAAUUAUGUGGACAAACAAGUUAACAAACCUUAAAAGUAUAAGGUAGAUCAUGUAAACUUAUGGAAUUGUGCAAUAAUUUUCAAAAAAAUAAUUCCAAAACUACAAAUAAAUGAAGAGAAACUUGAGUACAUACUAAUUGUGAUAUUUGAUUGUUUUCUAAUAUGGAAUACCAAAUUAGUUUUAUUAAUUUCUAAAAUGUCAAAGUUGUACUAGUUUUACCAGUAAUACUCGUCUAAUAUAUAUCAAUUGUUUAUAUGUCUAGUUUUAGGGUUUUACCAAUAUUUUCACAUCAUAACUUUGUAAAAAUAUGUUUGAUAUUUGUUUAUCAUAAUAAUAUAGCUAAUAUAGUUAACAAACCUUAAAAGUAAAAAAUAUAUAAUGUAAAAUUAAGAGUGUAAUGUAAUAAUUUAACAAAAAUAUGAAAAGUCUAAAAUAGAUGAAAUUUUGUCUUCAGAUACCAAUUACGAUAUUUUCUUGUUUAUUUCAUAUGUAAACCAUGAUUUAUAGUCGUGUUAAUUAUAGUAACUACAUAUAAUACAUAAAUUAUAACAUUUAUAUACUAGUUAUACUAGUUAUUCAAUUUUUUAACAUGUUUAGUUGUAAGAGUUAUAUUGGUUGUACCCAGUCGAAUGCGAAUGAAAUAACAAAAAUUGUGUGGCUGUGAGUUGAUCACGUGGUUGAGAUAAGAAAAUAGAAUGAGAGUGAAGGAGAGAUGAGUGAAAUCGAUGACCAAAAUUAAAACAUGAUGAGAAGAUCAGACGGCUCAUGAUUAAGUUUCAUUAAUGGCAAUCUUGUAAUAUUUUAUCCAUUAUUUCCUUUCAUGAUCUAAUGGCUCUCCUUAAAACAGAAAUGAUUUGAUCAAAGGGUUCAUAUUGAUCCAUCAUUAAUGGCAAAAACGUCAUUUACACAUACUUGGUUCACAUAGAAUAAUUAAGGUGGUGGGAGAUUAUUUUUCGGCCAUUUGGUCGAUAUGAAAUUUUUGCCCCUUUGUAUGUACUUCAGAGUUCGUAUCGGAUCAAGCUUCUAUCUUCGUACAAGGAAAUGAAUGGUAGGUGUUGUUGUUGAGAUGGUGAAUGAAGCCGAGUAGCGGGUCGAUUAUACAGUUCUCUGGCUCUAAGGAAGAUUCAGAUGAUGCUGGAGAUUGCGGUGGCAUCCCUCUGUUUUAUUUUUUCAAUGUCUCUGCGUUUGAGAAGAUGGCCGAGGAGCUUGUGGAGAUGUUCAAACGCGAAGUAAUUCUAAAGAGAUUACUUGUAAUGGAACUGGUCUCUUUAAGCUGUGUGAAGUUCCUCAACCAGACAAGUUCAGUUGGUCAGCGGAGCUUUACCAUGGGAGUGUAUGUGAGCCAAUUCUCCUCAGACGCUGAGAGAAGAUAAUCUCGAUUUUACUUGACAGCUUGGCUUGCAGAGAUAAACAUUGACACUCAUAGGUUGACUGACCACUGUCAUUCUCGAAUUCCACUCUUCUGAUGUGCCUGUGUUGAAUAUUUGUUGCAGGAAAGAUGAGAUAUUAGCAAUGGUCGGGGAAGAAAUUUGACUCACCUUCUAAAGUUUGAAAGCUAUUCCUUAGUGUGCCGUCUGGUUAAGUUUCUGUGACUUUAAAGCUUGACUGCUUCUACAAAGCUCCAAGUGACUUAAGAGACAGAUGAAGAGAUUUUUAGAAUCUUAGCUUUGUUGAAAUUAUAUUGCUAUGUUUUGUUUAAUGGAAACCAUAGGUUGUAUGUAAUCUUAUGAGAUUUUUCUGUUAUGAGCAAUUUUUCUUUACGAAGUAUACAAAAGAUUCUGACUUGCAAUGAUACGAAUACAUUAAUGAUUAAUUCUACAUGUCUA